AGUAACGGCGGAGUGAAGCGGCAACAGCUCAAAUUUGAAAUCUGGCUCUUUUAGAGUCCGAGUUGUAAUUUGCAGAGGGCGCUUUGGCGUUGGCAGCGGUCCAAGUUCUUUGGAACAGGACGUCACAGAGGGUGAGAAUCCCGU
rnacentral:rRNA from 1 species